rnacentral:rRNA from 1 species
CGAACGGGUGAGUAACACUGUGAGUAACCUGCCCUUGGCUCUGGGAUAAGCCCGGGAAACUGGGUCUAAUACCGGAUAUGACCACUGAACGCAUGUUCGGGUGGUGGAAAGUUUUUCGGCUGGGGAUGGACUCGCGGUCUAUCAGCUUGUUGGUGGGGUGAUGGCCUACCAAGGCGACGACGGAUAGCCGGCCUGAGAGGGUGACCGGCCACACUGGGACUGAGACACGGCCCAGACUCCUACCGGAGGCAGCAGUGGGGAAUAUUGCGCAAUGGGCGGAA